UACGGGGGGAGCAAGCGUUGUUCGGAUUUACUGGGCGUAAAGGGCGCGUAGGCGGCCUCUGCAAGUCGACUGUGAAAUCUCCGGGCUUAACCCGGAAAGGUCAGCCGAUACUGCAGGGCUAGAGUGCAGAAGGGGCAACUGGAAUUCUCGGUGUAGCGGUGAAAUGCGUAGAUAUCGAGAGGAACACCUGCGGCGAAGGCAGCUCGCUGGGACGUUACUGACGCUGAGACGCGAAAGCGUGGGGAGCAAACAGG
rnacentral:rRNA from 1 species